rnacentral:rRNA from 1 species
UGGGGAAUAUUGCACAAUGGGCGCAAGCCUGAUGCAGCCAUGCCGCGUGUGUGAAGAAGGCCUUCGGGUUGUAAAGCACUUUCAGCGGGGAGGAAGGCGAUAAGGUUAAUAACCUUGUCGAUUGACGUUACCCGCAGAAGAAGCACCGGCUAACUCCGUGCCAGCAGCCGCGGUAAUACGGAGGGUGCAAGCGUUAAUCGGAAUUACUGGGCGUAAAGCGCACGCAGGCGGUCUGUCAAGUCGGAUGUGAAAUCCCCGGGCUCAACCUGGGAACUGCAUUCGAAACUGGCAGGCUAGAGUCUUGUAGAGGGGGGUAGAAUUCCAGGUGUAGCGGUGAAAUGCGUAGAGUUCUGGAGGAAUACCGGUGGCGAAGGCGGCCCCCUGGACAAAGACUGACGCUCAGGUGCGAAAGCGUGUGGAGCAAACAGG